AAGUCGGACAUGAAAUCAUUGGGCUUAACCCAAUGGCUGUGCCCGAUACUUGCGUGUUAGAGUGCGGGAGAGGCAAUCGGAAUUCUCGGUGUAGCGGUGAAAUGCGUAGAUAUCGAGAGGAACUCCAGUGACGAAGGUGGGUUGCUGGACCGACACUGACGCUGAGGCGCGAAAGCUAGGGGAGCAAACAGGAUUAGAUACCCUGGUAGUCCACGCCGUAAACGAUGUGCGCUGGAUGUUGGGUGACCUAGUCACUCAGUGUCGAAGCUAACGCGAUAAGCGCACCGCCUGGGGAGUACGGCCGCAAGGUUGAAACUCAAAGGAAUUGACGGGGACCAGCACAAGCGGUGGAGCAUGUGGUUUAAUUCGAUGCAACGCGAAGAACCUUACCAGGGUUUGACAUGU
rnacentral:rRNA from 1 species